UGGGGAAUAUUGCACAAUGGGCGAAAGCCUGAUGCAGCGACGCCGCGUGAGGGAUGACGGCCUUCGGGUUGUAAACCUCUUUCAGCAGGGAAGAAGCGCAAGUGACGGUACCUGCAGAAGAAGCACCGGCUAACUACGUGCCAGCAGUCGCGGUAAUACGUAGGGUGCGAGCGUUGUCCGGAAUUAUUGGGCGUAAAGAGCUUGUAGGCGGUUUGUCGCGUCUGCUGUGAAAAUCCGGGGCUCAACCCCGGACUUGCAGUGGGUACGGGCAGACUAGAGUGUGGUAGGGGAGACUGGAAUUCCUGGUGUAGCGGUGAAAUGCGCAGAUAUCAGGAGGAACACCGAUGGCGAAGGCGGCAUCCUGGACCGACAUUGACGCUGAGGCGCGAAAGCCAGGGGAGCAAA
rnacentral:rRNA from 1 species